rnacentral:rRNA from 1 species
AAAUUGAAGAGUUUGAUCAUGGCUCAGAUUGAACGCUGGCGGCAGGCCUAACACAUGCAAGUCGAACGGUAACAGGAAACAGCUUGCUGUUUCGCUGACGAGUGGCGGACGGGUGAGUAAUGUCUGGGAAACUGCCUGAUGGAGGGGGAUAACUACUGGAAACGGUAGCUAAUACCGCAUAACGUCGCAAGACCAAAGAGGGGGACCUUCGGGCCUCUUGCCAUCGGAUGUGCCCAGAUGGGAUUAGCUAGUAGGUGAGGUAACGGCUCACCUAGGCGACGAUCCCUAGCUGGUCUGAGAGGAUGACCAGCCACACUGGAACUGAGACACGGUCCAGACUCCUACGGGAGGCAGCAGUGGGGAAUAUUGCACAAUGGGCGCAAGCCUGAUGCAGCCAUGCCGCGUGUAUGAAGAAGGCCUUCGGGUUGUAAAGUA